CAAUAGCGUAUAUUAAAGUUGUUGCGGUUAAAAAGCUCGUAGUUGGAUUUCUGUUGAGGUCGGCCGGUGUGCAUUACGUGUAUUAUCAGGUUUGGUCUUGGCAUCCUCUGAGGCACGAGGGACUUUAUUGGCUCUCGAGUUUUCAGACUUUUACUUUGAAAAAAUUAGAGUGUUCAAAGCAGGCAUUUCGCCUGAAUACUGGUGCAUGGAAUAAUAGAAUAGGACCUCGGUUCUAUUUUGUUGGUUUUCGGAACUUGAGGUAAUGAUUAAGAGGGACGGACGGGGGCGAUUCGUAUUACGGUGUUAGAGGUGAAAUUCUUGGAUCGCCGUAAGACGAACUACUGCGAAAGCAUUUGCCAAGAAUGUUUUCAUUAAUCAAGAACGAAAGUCAGAGGUUCGAAGACGAUUAGAUACCGU
rnacentral:rRNA from 1 species